UCUCCGUAGGUGAACCUGCGGAGGGAUCAUUACAAGAACGCCCGGGCUUCGGCCUGGUUAUUCAUAACCCUUUGUUGUCCGACUCUGUUGCCUCCGGGGCGACCCUGCCUUCGGGCGGGGGCUCCGGGUGGACACUUCAAACUCUUGCGUAACUUUGCAGUCUGAGUAACUUAAUUAAUAAAUUAAAACUUUUAACAACGGAUCUCUUGGUUCUGGCAUCGAUGAAGAACGCAGCGAAAUGCGAUAAGUAAUGUGAAUUGCAGAAUUCAGUGAAUCAUCGAAUCUUUGAACGCACAUUGCGCCCCCUGGUAUUCCGGGGGGCAUGCCUGUUCGAGCGUCAUUUCACCACUCAAGCCUCGCUUGGUAUUGGGCAACGCGGUCCGCCGCGUGCCUCAAAUCGUCCGGCUGGGUCUUCUGUCCCCUAAGCGUUGUGGAAACUAUUCGCUAAAGGGUGUUCGGGAGGCUACGCCGUAAAACAACCCCAUUUCUAAGGUUGACCUCGGAUCAGAUAGGGAUACCCGCUGAACUUAAGCAUAUCA
rnacentral:rRNA from 1 species